rnacentral:rRNA from 1 species
UACAGAGGUCCCGAGCGUUGUUCGGAUUCACUGGGCGUAAAGGGUGCGCAGGUGGGUUGGCAAGUUUGAUGUGAAAGCCCCGGGCUUAACCCGGGAAUGGCAUUGAAUACUGCUGAUCUGGAGGAUUGGAGGGGGGGACUGGAAUUCUUGGUGUAGCAGUGAAAUGCGUAGAUAUCAAGAGGAACACCAGUGGCGAAGGCGAGUCCCUGGACAAUACCUGACACUGAGGCACGAAAGCUAGGGGAGCAAACAGG